rnacentral:lncRNA from 1 species
CCAUUUUAUUGAAUAUUAUUAUAUUUUAUUAAAGCAAUUCAGCUACAAGAAGGACGUUCGCCCGGAGGCCGAUGCGGCUUAGUGUGUGGCUACGGUGGUGGUGGUUUCUUAUUUGGCUUCCGCAGUGGUGGAUGCUCCUCCUCCGUCGGUGGCUCCUUAGCACCGCACUCCGUCAAGCGCGUGGGCCCCUUCUGCUUUUUUUUUUUUCUUGCCAAAACAGAGUCUUACGACCAGAUAAACCUCCACCGCACACGAAGACAGGAGACAGCCAUCAAACAACGAAUUAUUCGAUUCGAUUUCUCUAUGUAAGGUCUCUCUAUGUCUCUCGUUUUUGCUGGUGCACCCCAAAUUGAUUUUAUAUAUGCAGAAUUUUUUUGCUUAAACUGUGAUCACCUCUAUCAAUCUAUGUAGGUAUAUAUUAUAUUAAGUUAUUGUCUUUUGUAAUGAAAGGUAAUGGCUGAAUUGCAAAUAGAAGAAGUAUUGGUCUAGAAAUCAGAACUGGUUGUUGUAGGGAUUUCUAGAUGAAUAUUAUAUUGGUAGUUUGAUGGGUUUGUAGGAUAUAAAGUACUGUGAGUAACCUUUUGCAGUUUGAAUUUUUCUUCAAGUUCCUUUUAUAUAUCGAAGAAGAACAUGUGUUGUUAUACAAAUAAGAUUCCCUGAACCAUUUUUGCUACUUUAUGGUGACUAACAAAAGAGAAAGAUCUUUUUUUUUCCAGGAAUGUCCAUGUAAUCAUUCGCUUGAGAUCUGAUGACUUGGGCAAACAUAAACUAGCAAAUUAACAAAUUUUGGUAAGAAUUUGUUUAUUCAUGGUAGUGAGGUUGGCAUCAAAUGUUUUUUAUCGGACUUGCUUUCACUAUUGUUUAUAUGCUCAUUUUAGUAGCUUUUAUUUUCUCAUAAUCGACAGGUUUGUACUUUAAUAAGUCUAGAAUACUUUCGAGAUUCUUGUUUUGGUAGCAGGAUUGAUGCCGGACUCGGAAAUUAACUUCAGUUAUAACAAUGUGGUAAGUAUUAAUAUAGUAUAUAAACUUUUUCUCUUACACAUAAACUAUCUCUUACAUGAUUGAUUAUAGUCUAAGUGUUGCAGCUACGUAGCGAAACAAGAUAAGAACUCUCUCUCUCUCUCGUAUUUGUUAUUGAAUUCAACCUUAUUUUAGUAAAAUAACCUAAGCUCUUUCUUCUUGACAGAGAUGUUGGUAUCGAUGCCAUGUGGUAGCUAGAGAGGUUAGCAUCAAUG